AGCUGUUCCAGAGCUAGUAAGUGCAGUGUCAAAUCUCAUACAUUUGCCUUUAAAUCUCUUGUAUUCAUCCCCCCUCCCCAUCACUAGUUGCACACAUAUCUUCAAGGCUGCCAUCAGAACCCAAAAUCCUCGGGCAGCUGCUGGGCCACCCAGUAGGGCACACCACAGAUGCUUGCCCAGAAGCCACCCACCCCCAGUCUGGUGCUAUUUUAAUUUCACUACAAUGCCCCACAACUAAGUAUAACUCUGGGGCAUUGUGAGAAAUUUAAAUAGCAGCCACUCAGUACUGCUCAGAGCCCUGCUCCUACAAUGCUGCCAGCUAACCCACCAGGGCUCAGUGAGAGCAUUUUGCUCAGGGCCCCUUCAAACUGGUACUAUACCAUCCAUGGAUGCACUUCCUUUCCCAAAUUUACAGGAUAACCAGCAAUGACCUACCUGAUGGUGAGAGCCAGAGUAAUCUUAAUUAGAACUAGAAUGGCAGGAGGAAGCUAGGACCCAAAGGAGGCUGCAUUUUAUAUUUACCUCACAUAUGCCAGGAAGCAAUAAGGCAACAAAUAUUAAUCCCACUUGCAGUUGCCCAGGGGAAUAGAGAGUGUUCUAGUUGCAAGCUCUGCGGUGCUGGAGCUGGCAGCUAUGAUAGCCUGCAGUAAAACAUCAUCCAUCCCCUUCAGCAGUAGCUAUUGCACACUAGAUUUGUUGAACAGAUUAGGCUGAAGAUGGCCCUGUAACCCUAAUAAACCUAAAUUAUGCUGAAUCUAGACAUCCAUCUGUCACCCAUGCUUUUUCUUCUGUGCAUGUUAUGUGCUGCAUACAUUGGCAUGUAUCAAUACACGCACAUGCAUCAAUACAUCUUGUUGGGCACCAGGAGCACGCUACUAGAAAGCAGCCUUAUCAAUACUCGCUGACAUCAAGUUAUCAGUAGCACAUAUUGAACCCAAUAUAUGGGCAUGUCACUUCCCCCCUCUCCUCUUCAAGAUGGACGCAAGCAGGUGAACAGAAGCUUACUGUUUACAGUAGUUUACUGUUAUGUCUGAGCUCUGAGAUAAACUGUGGUUAGUCUUAACUAUUAUUUACUAAAACAAGUCAACUUCAAGCUGACUUCUUUCAGUAAGAGUAAGAGUUCAAAUAUAACUAUAAACUGCUGUUAAUUGAAAGUGAAAGUCAAAGCUUCCCAACCCCUCCUGGUUGGAAGGCUGGGGUUAAACCACAGUUUUCCAGUUCAGAUAGACCACGCAAGUGGUUUAAUAACCUACAAGAUAAACACCCUGUAGUGGGGGGGGGGUAAACAAAGGUACAACACUUGCUGUCGGCCUACAAAAAACAUGGUUUGAUGUUGUUAUGAAACUGGCUUUAGAAUCCAGUUCCUUAACAAAUAUAUUUCCCAAAGAUGCUGACUUCCUGGGUUUACUGGGUUUUGUUCUAGGGAAAAUGCCCAGCUUUCAGAGCAAUGUACGGAAGCUUAAAACUGCAGAAGGUAGUGCCGGUAUUUGCAAAACUGAAGGUAGUCAGUUUUGGUGAAUCCCAAGGAUGAAGGUUGGAUGACUUUACCCCUUACAGUGGGGUCUCUCAAAGCCUUCUUCUGAAUCUUUCAAAAUUCUACAAGAACCACUUAACAAUUUCAUUGUCAGUCCUCCUAACAAAUCAUGGUCAUUAAAUCUAUCCUUUUAUAAGUCAAAUUGCCAGAUUUGGAUGUAUCUGAUUUCUUUGAUUUAGUACAUUUCUAGGCAUCCUGCCUACCUUAGCAAGUUCUCUUCCUUUUAACAGCCUUUAUUUAACAAAUAUGAAAAUAAAAUACUUCAGUUUCAAGGUGGGGGUUCAUUUCUAUAGGAUAUAUUGUAUACACACUUAAAUCUAAAUUUAAUUUCCCUGAAAUAAAAUGAAUGGCAUUUAAAAGAAAGUAAAUAAACCAUGGGGUGUUGUUAUUUUUAAAGAAAUGUUAUUUUGUAGAAAUAAGUUGAUCACACUUUUGAAAGGAUGUAAAAGAUCAUAAGUUUACUUCUUAAAGAGACCAUGAGUUGUAUCCAAUUAUAUUUAGUGCACUAGCUACACAGUUCUGUCUAUGACUUCCCAGAAUUAAGCCCCACUGAGCUCAAUGAGGCAUAUUUCUAGGUAUGUGUUUAUAGGAUUGCAGCCUUAUUUACACUUGCUGUACUUAAUUCCCAUUGAAAGGGACAAAUUUCUCAUGACUUACGUCCCAUUGAUUUUGAUGGAAACUAAGUGCAGCUAAUGGGCAGAACAAUCUAGUCCCCUCCCCAUUAUGCCAAGCUGGGCAGAGGUGGUUGGACUGAGCAGAGAUGUCCUUCUGUCCAGCUCUCCUGAUUAAUCUGGCCUCCCGCAAGCUGCCAAACAUGCAGGCAGGAGGGGGAAUCACUGGCAGGAUCACCCCGCUUCUUGGUCAGCAGCCAGCAGGAAGCCACUGAAUGGGAGUUCCAAGGGUGGGGCUCAGCCAGUUGGCUCCCAAACCGAUUUAAUUGCCUUCAUGUGACAGGAUGGGGCCUGAUUGCUCUUCUGCCAUGUCUGCCGUGCAGUGGUGGGCCUGCCGCUCCAUACAGCCCCACUGGUGGGGGAGGUUUGGAAUGCAGCCUUAGUCUGGAUGCAACAGCAUGCUAUUUAAUAUUCAUCAGACACACACUGCUAGGCCCUGCUGUGCUCUACUGCAUAGCUUAUAUCAAAGGGUCUUGCACUGGAGGACUUCCUGAUAGAUAUCACUUUAGUUCAGGCAAACGUGAAAUCAAAAAUAACUAUUUUUUUAAACUGAAAAAUGCACUCACUUUGCAUGAAGUUAAGUAACUAAAGCACUAUGUUGUGUGCAAUAAUGCCACUACCUAUGUAGUAUGUGGCGUACUAGUUGAUGGUAAAGAUUUAUAUUGAAAAGAGUAGGUAGAGUGCUUUGUUGCUUUGCUGGAAGCAACCAAGGAACUCUGCCCCUCAAAUUAGUGGAUUAUUACAUAUACUGAAGCAAAGAAACCUGAAGUGUUUCAGUUAGGGUCUCAGUUAUAAAUCACUCUGCAGCUGAUUUCAAAUCAGUUUGAGUGCCCUGGCUUUCUCCAAAGAAUCCUGUAAACUACACUUUUGUAAGGAGUGUCUUUUCUUUAACCGUUGCGGAUGCGCCUGCAGAACUAUAAUGGUUUGUGCUCUUUGGAAGGGAGCCAUACCACUUGAGCUGGUUUGAAACUGAUUUAAAUUUGUCCUGCAGAUGUGACUUGAAAGGAGCUGGGAAAUUGGGACAGGAGAGACCCAUCUGCACUCGUAUGAAGAAUCUUUAUAAUAUGUGACACUGAAACUGUACUACAACAAAAAUAUCGUUGUCAACACCAUUAAUUUGCUGGGCCAUAGGUGACUCUUGCCUAAUUUACUAAGUAGAUAACAAGACUUGUACAAAUAGAGAGCCUUUUAAAAAAAAGAAAAAAAGAAAAAUGCUUACAUGUAGAAAAUGUAUGACACCCUUGUACUAUGGCUUGCACUUUACCUGCAUAUAAACUGUGAAGUAGGCUGUAGUAAUUUAUUAUUAUUUUGUAUAUUCAGGGGUUGAAGUAGCAAAGCACUAGUACGACAUGGCUGGUUUUCAAGCUGUACUGUUAAAAGAAAUCUCAGACUAGAGACGGAUAUGAGGGUUUUGAAGAGAGUUGAAGGUGGCAAGAGACAGGAAUCUUGGGCCAAAUAGGACCCAAUCUUCCCUUGGCUGAAAAAAAGGCUUUGCAAGCAUGGAUGAGAUAAUUACUCUUGACAGGUUGCUAUAUACAGUGGUACCUUGGUUUGCAACCGCUUUGGAUUACAACCAUGUCAAACCUGGAAGUACGUGUCCCUUUUUUUUAUUACAACCUAUUUUUUUUGGAUUACAACCCAUUUUUUGGAUUACAACCCAUUUUGGGGGGGAGGCCCCAUUGGUAAAAGCGCGCCUUGGGUUACAACCUGUUUUGGUUUACAACUGGACCUCCGGAAAGGAUAAUGGUUGUAAACCAAGGUACCACUGUAGAAUGCAAUUGAUAAACCACUUAAAGGAUUGCAAACACCAAUGUGGAUCAAGACUACACAAUCAAUAGCCAGAUUCUGACAAUCCUUUAAACUAGGGUGGCCAGCAUGUGCCCUCUAGAUGCUGUUGGACUACAGUUGCCACCUUCCCUGAUCAUUGGACGUGCUGGCUGGGACUGCUGGAAGUUGUAGUUCGAUUACUUUUGGGAGGUGAGGGUACAAUGUUGGCUACGUCUGCUCUAAACUAUUUCCUUACAGGACUCCUCUUCAGAACUACUUUCUUGCUUUCUCUAUGAAUCAAGCUACAGUUUGCUGCUAUGAUACCCAGAUUGGUAAAUGGUAGUUUAACAGCAGCAGGAGUGGGGAAUUUGUUGGACUCCCAACUCCCAUAAACAUGGUCAAUAGUCAGAGGUAAUGGGAGGAAUCAGAUUGUUAAAACCUCACCUUGCUACUUUGGAUUUUGCCUAUGCCUGCCUGUGGUUUGGUUCAAACAGGAGAUAAGAAAUCAUGACCGGCAAGAGGCAGGAAAAACAAAUAGGAAGGAGCACACACAUACUACACUUGCUCACAAUCCUCCAAACCAUGUUUUCCAGGGGCUUUGGAAUGAUGCUGUUUAGUAUAUACACCAAGCUUUUCAAACCACCUUCAACUCUCUGUAAAACCACUCUCCUGCCAAAAAGAGGUCAAAUAAGUGUAUUUUGAAAAAUCUGCUAAGUUAAAAGUCAGCAUCUGUGACUGACUAUGCUAUGGGGUCUCUCCAUGGUCUUUCUUUUGUAAAUAUGAACAUUCUUAACUAUUUCUGUAGCAAUAGGUUAUAUACCAAACUUUCACUUGGACUGUUUUCAAACAACAAAAAAUCUCUAGCGCCUUGUAUUCUUUAAAAAAAAAUCACGGAGAACCAGUCUUAGGAGCAUUUUUGUUUACACAAUAAUAUGUAUAUAUAAGGAAAUAUAUAUAUAUAUAUAUUAGAGGCAGAACUGUUAUUUAUCAUACUUUAUGUUGUGCUUGAUUAUGUCUAAGAGUCUGUCAUCUAGAAAUAUUUUCUGUGAUAGAGAAAGAAAAAUGUUAUAUUGCGGGAACCCUCCUGCAUAGGAGCUUGAAAAGUGAAAGCUUUAAGCAACUGUACAUCUAUAUUGUAGCUAUUAUUUUUAACUCCAACCUAUUGUAAUUUUCCUAAUUUAGCCAUGAAAGAAAACCAAAAUGUGAUGUUAAAUCAUUAACCAGGGAAGAUCCCAUUCAUAUGUUUUGCCUUGUUGUUUGAAAACUUCAGAACAUAUCCUUCAUCUUUACUUGUGAUGAGGGAGGUCUCUCUCAUGGGCUGCCUCUACUUUCAUCCCUUAGCAGUCAAGAGUCUUCAUUUUCAUGGAUGCACAUGGAAAAUGGACUUACAGCGCAAUCCUAUACAUUUCUCCUCAAAUGUAAGUCCCAUUGAUUUCAUUGGGGCUUAUUCCCAGGUAAGUGGGUACAGGAUUGCAGCCUCAGAUAGGUAAAACUAAAUUUCAACCCCUGGAUAAUACAGGUUUCUUUAUGUGUCUGUAUGUGUGUUUUUCAGUUUCACCAAAGUCUUUUUAAUUUUAUACUUGUCUUAUGUUGGAAAGUGAUCCACUGGUUUAUAUAGGCUAUGAAUGUUUGUUUUCCUUUGGUUUCCUUUUUUAGAAUUAAUGUACUUGGCUGCAAUUUUUUUUUCUACCACAGAUUAACUUGUUAACUUUUUGCGUGUCUACAAUGAAACUUUAUGAAUGGAAAAAUUUCACUGUGUGUUGCUCACUGGGCAUAUACCUCAUGGUACAUUGCACAGACUUGUAAGUUGUAAGUUGCACUGCAACAUUAUAAAAGGAACAUAUUGCUCUUUUUUCAAAGAUUAACUUAUUUAAAAAAAACUAUAUAGACUGUACAUUAUUGAAAAAGGACAUUUAUUCUUCCUAAAUUCAAAAGUAGCUUUUGUUUUAGGAAAAAGUUGUAAAACUUCAGUUGUAAAUUUGGACUUCAAUAAACUGAAUUCUCUGA